UGUUGUCCGGUAUGGGCGUGUGGUGGAUGCCUUGGCACAUGGGACCGAUGAAGGACGCGUGGGGCCGCGAUAGUCCUCGGGGAGCCGCCGACAGGGCUUUGAUCCGAGGGUUUCCGAAUGGGGUAACCCGGCACUCGUUGUGGGGUGUCACCGGCUUUGGCCGGGGGGUACGCAGGGAAGUGAAACAUCUCAGUACCUGCAGGAAAGGAUAUUCCGUGAGUAGUGGCGAGCGAAAGCGGAUGAUGGCUAAACCGUGGUCGUGUGAUACCCGUCGGGGGUUGCGGCUUCGGUGUCGUGGGAAGGCCUGUGCCGGUUCCGACGGACCGGCCGGCAGUGAUCAAGCGUCGUGCUAGACGAACGGGAUUGAAUUCCCGGCCGUAGAGGGUGAUGGCCCCGUAGUCGGUCGUGCGAUGCCUGUCGAUGGUCUCUCCCGAGUAGCACGGGACUCGUGGAAUCCCGUGUGAAUCCGCCCGGACCGUCGGGUAAGCCUGAAUAUUCCCGUGUGACCGAUAGCGUACGAGUACCGUGAGGGAAAGGUGAAAAGCACCCCGGGAGGGGAGUGAAAUAGUUUCUGAAACCGCGCGCCUGCGAUCCGUCGGAGCCUUUCGGGGUGACGGCGUGCCUAUCGAAAAAUGAGUCUGCGAGUCAGUGGUGCGUGGCGAGCAUAAGCCGUGUGGUGUAUGCGUAGCGAAGGCGAGUCUUAAAAGGCGUUUGAGUCGCGUGCCCUGGACCCGAAGCGGGAUGAUCUAGCCCUGAGCAGGCUGAAGCGCGGGUAAGACCGUGUGGAGGGCCGUACCCACCUAGGUUGAAAACUGGGGGGAUGACUUGGGGUUAGGGGUGAAAGGCCAAUCAAAUUCCGUGAUAGCUGGUUCUCUCCGAAAUGCAUUUAGGUGCAGCGUCGGUUGAUUGGAUCCGGGGGGUAGAGCUACUGGAUGCUUGAGGGCCCGUAUUGGGUACCGACAGCAGCCAAACUCCGAAUACCCGUGACCUGUAUUCCGGCAGUGACCCGGCGGGGGAUAAGCUUCGUCGUGGAGAGGGAGACAGCCCAGAUCGUCGUCUAAGGUCCCCAAGCGCGUGCUAAGUGGGAAAGGAUGUGGGGUCGCAUAGACAGCCAGGAGGUUGGCUCAGAAGCAGCCAUCCUUGAAAGAGUGCGUAACAGCUCACUGGUCUAGUGGUCCUGCGCCGACAAUGUAGCGGGGCUCAAGCACGCCACCGAAGACGCGGCAGCAGCGUUUGUGCUGUUGGGUAGGAGAGCGUCCCGUGAGGGGUGAAGCCGCGGCGUGAGCCUGUGGUGGACUUCACGGGAGUGAGAAUGCAGACAUGAGUAGCGAGACGGGGGUGACAAUCCCCCGCGCUGGAUGACCAAGGGUUCCAGGGCCACGUUCAUCGUCCCUGGGUGAGUCGGGUCCUAAGGCGAGGCCGACAGGCGUAGUCGAAUGGAUGAACGGGUUGAUAUUCCCGUACCGGCAUGGAGCCGCCAGGACCGAGGCGGGGGGUGCUAACCUCCGGUCCGUCCCUAUGUUCCCUUCGGGGUUCGGUGGGAUGGGUUGGUGGGACCGACCCCUGUAGUAGGUGAGCGCGGGAGUGACGCAGGAUGGUAGCCGGCCGCGGCGGUGGUUGUCCGUGGUCAAGCGUGCGGCCCGUCCCCCAGGCAAAUCCGGGGGGCAUGUGGGUGAGGCGUGAUGAUGGGAGGCGUUUGCCUCGAUAUCCGGUGAUCCAAUGCUGUCGAGAAAAGCUUCGGCGUGAGGCUGUUUGCCGCCCGUACCCUAAACCGACACUGGUGGUCAGGUAGAGAAUACCAAGGCGAUCGAGCGAAUCCUGGUCAAGGAACUCGGCAAAUUGCUCCCGUUCCUUCGGUUUAAGGGAGACCCCCGCGGGUCGGCGGACUUGCUUCGCUGGGCGUGUGGGGGUGGCACAUGAGAGGGGGUAGCGACUGUUUACCAAAAACACAGGAGCGUGCGAAGGCGCAAGCCGCUGUAUACGCUCUGACGCCUGCCCGGUGCCGGAAGGUUAAGAGGAUCCGUCAGCCUUUUGGGUGAAGCGGUGAAUUCAAGCCCCGGUAAACGGCGGUGGUAACUAUAACCAUCCUAAGGUAGCGAAAUUCCUUGUCGGGUAAGUUCCGACCUGCACGAAUGGCGUAACGACUUCCCCACUGUCUCGACCAGGAGCUCGGCGAAAUUGCAGUACGAGUAAAGAUGCUCGUUAAGCGCAGAAGGACGAAAAGACCCCGGGACCUUUACUAUACCUUGGUAUUGUCGUUAGGUGUGGACUGUGUAGCAUAGGCGGGAGGCUGUGAGGCGGGUGCGCCAGCAUUCGUGGAGCCGAAAGUUGAAAUACCGCUCUGUCUUCAUCUGGCGUCUAACCUCGACGCGUGAUCCGUGUCAGGGACAGUGCCUGGCGGGUAGUUUAACUGGGGCGGUUGCCUCCCAAAGAGUAACGGAGGCGCUCAAAGGUCCGCUCAGCCCGGUUGGCAAUCGGGUGUCGAGUGCAAUCGCACAAGCGGGCUUGACUGUGAGAGCGACGGUUCGAGCAGGGACGAAAGUCGGAGAUAGUGAUCCGGUGCCGGCGCACGGGCGCGGCAUCGCUCAACGGAUAAAAGGUACCCCGGGGAUAACAGGCUGAUCAUUCCCAAGAGUCCAUAUCGACGGGAUGGUUUGGCACCUCGAUGUCGGCUCGUCGCAUCCUGGGGCUGGAGCAGGUCCCAAGGGUUCGGCUGUUCGCCGAUUAAAGCGGCACGCGAGCUGGGUUCAGAACGUCGUGAGACAGUUUGGUCUCUAUCCUCUGCGCUCGUUGGAAUCUUGAGGAGUCCUGCCCAUAGUACGAGAGGACCUGGGUGGACGAACCUCUGGUUUGCCGGUUGUCACGCCAGUGGCAUGGCCGGUUGGCUACGUUCGGGUGGGAUAACCGCUGAAAGCAUCUAAGCGGGAAGCCUUCUCCAAGAUAAGGAUUCCUUCAUGCCCUUCGGGGUGUGUGUACCCCCCAUGGAGAACACGUGGUUGAUAGGCCGGAGGUGGAAGCCCUGCGAGGGGUGGAGCCGACCGGUACUAACGGGGGAAGGACAAUCACAC
rnacentral:rRNA from 1 species